CGCCAGGGUACUACGAGCAUAGCUUAAAACCCAAAGGACUUGGCGGUGUCUCAGACCCACCUAGAGGAGCCUGUUCUAGAACCGAUAAUCCCCGUUAAACCUCACCACUUCUUGUUAAUCCCGCCUAUAUACCGCCGUCGCCAGCUUACCCCGUGAGGGUUUAAUAGUAAGCAAAAUGGACAAACCCCAAAACGUCAGGUCGAGGUGUAGCGCACGAAGUGGGAAGAAAUGGGCUACAUUUUCUACAACAGAAAAUAACGAAUGGUCUACUGAAACACAUACCUGAAGGAGGAUUUAGCAGUAAAAAGCAAAUAGAGAGUCCUUUUGAAUCAGGCUCUGAGACACGC
rnacentral:rRNA from 1 species